AUGGCCAUGAUGCUGCCGCCGCUGCUGCUUCUCCAGCUCGCCUCCUUCCUCCGCUCAGCCAUAGCCUCCACCGGCACCGGCGGCAACGGGAGCUGCACGCCGGAGUCAUGCGGGGACCUGAGGAUCAGGUACCCCUUCUCCCUCGCCGGCGCGCAGCCGCUCUACUGCGGCUACCCGGCCUUCGACCUCACCUGCGACGUCGGCACCCGACGCGCCUACCUGAGCAACACGUUCAGGGAGAACAUCUUCCGCGUCGACAACAUCUCCUACGCCAGCAACUCCAUGGUGGCCGCCGUGCAGACCAUCUUCGCCGGCGACAGCGGCUGCUCCGUCCCCGACUUCAACGUGUCGGCCAGCCUCGCCCUCUUCCCGUUCAACAUCAGCGCCACCAACAAGCGUCUCGUGUUCUUCUACAACUGCACCGUGCCUUCUGCGCUCCGGCUGCCGCGGCGGUGUGGCCCUGGCAACCACACGAUGGGGGCGUACAUCUCUGGUCUUUGGUACGAAGGCGGCACGGUGCCGGCAGGUGUUCCGACGAACUGUAGCUCGGUGAGCGUGCCGGUGCGCCGAGGACUGGAUCGAGCUCAUGAGCAGUACGAGCGGCUGAUCAGGGAUGGAUUCCUCCUGAAGCUUCCGGCGCCGCUAGGGGACUGCGAUCGAUGCAGACGGAUGAGCGGCGGGGAGUGCCGGUUCGCUGAGUUUGCGUUCCAGUGCGUCUGCCCCGACGGGAAGCUCUGCCCCAACUCCACUGAAACCAACUCAACAACUCCUCCAGAUACAGAUACAGGUGCAAAGGAUGUUGGAAUAAAGUAUGUCACAGGAAUCACAAGUGCUGUUCUGUUUGUCAUCGUACUGGGACUCGUGUGCCAUCUCAUACAACUCAACCGAGCCAAGAACAAGAAACGAUCUGCGUCAAUGGACGGCCUCAUCCGUGAAGGAUCGCCGUUGGCAUCGCUCCGCAAGGAGUUCAACGGCCUCGCCGGCUCGCCGUGCACCCACAUCUUCACCUACGAGGAGCUCGACACGGCCACCGACGGCUUCAGCAACACCAACGAGCUCGGCGCCGGCGGCUUCGGGAUAGUCUACAAGGGGGUUCUCCGGGACGGGAGCGUGGUGGCGGUGAAGCGGCUGUACAAGAACAGCUACAAGGGCGUGGAGCAGUUCGCCAACGAGGUGGACAUCCUCUCGCGCCUGCGCCACCCCAACCUCGUCGCGCUCUACGGCUGCACCUCCUCCUCGCCGACCUGCCGCGACCUCCUCCUCGUCUACGAGUUCGUCCCCAACGGCACGCUCGCCGACCACCUCCACCACGGCAAGGACGGCGGCGGCGACCCCCUCCUCCUCCCGUGGCCGACCCGGCUCGGCAUCGCCGUCGAGACGGCUGCCGCGCUGGCCUACCUCCACGCGCACCAGGUCCUGCACCGCGACGUCAAGACGACCAACAUCCUCCUCGAUGAUGGGUUCCACGUAAAGGUGGCCGACUUCGGGCUGUCCCGGCUGUUCCCGGCGGAGGGCGCCACGCAGCACGUGUCCACGGCGCCGCAGGGCACCCCCGGGUACGUCGACCCGGCGUACAACCGCCGGUACCAGCUGACGGACAAGAGCGACGUGUACAGCUUCGGCGUGGUGCUCGUCGAGCUCGUGUCCUCUAGACCGGCUGUGGACAUGGCCCAGGCCGGCGCCGACGUGAACCUGGCAUGCAUGGCCGUGCGCAUGAUACAAUGCUGCGAGAUCGACCGGCUGGUCGACCCGCGGCUCGGGUACGGGUCGUCGGCGAGCGAGACGAAGGAGACUAUCGACAUGGUGGCCGAGGUGGCGUUCCGGUGCCUGCAGCCAGAGCAGGACGUCCGGCCGUCCAUCAGCGAGGUCCUGGACGUGCUCAGGCAGGCUCACCACAGGAUCACGGAUGGCGCCGUGUCGCUGAAGAAGAGCAGAGACGGGUCGCCCGACUCCGUGAUGAACCAGUGGAUCAGCCCAUCAACCACCUCCAAUUAUAGCAGCUGA
rnacentral:rRNA from 1 species